rnacentral:rRNA from 1 species
UACGUAGGGUGCGAGCGUUGUCCGGAAUUAUUGGGCGUAAAGAGCUCGUAGGCGGCUUUGCAAGUUAGAGGUGAAAGCCCGGAGCUCAACUCCGGAACUGCCUUUAAAACUGCAUAGCUUGAAUCCGGGAGAGGUGAGUGGAAUUCCGAGUGUUGAGGUGAAAUUCGUAGAUAUUCGGAAGAACACCAGUGGCGAAGGCGGCUCACUGGACCGGUAUUGACGCUGAGGUGCGAAAGCGUGGGGAGCAAACAGG